GAUGAAGAACGCAGCGAAAUGCGAUAAGUAAUGUGAAUUGCAGAAUUCAGUGAAUCAUCGAAUCUUUGAACGCACAUUGCGCCCGCCUGUAUUCUGGCGGGCAUGCCUGUUCGAGCGUCAUUACAACCCUCAGGCCCCCGGGCCUGGCGUUGGGGAUCGGCGGAGCCCCCCGUGGGCACACGCCGUCCCCCAAAUGCAGUGGCGGUCCCGCCGCAGCUUCCAUCGCGUAGUAGCUAACACCUCGCGACUGGAGAGCGGCGCGGCCACGCCGUAAAACACCCAACUCUUCUGAAGUUGACCUCGAAUCAGGUAGGAAUACCCGCUGAACUUAAGCAUAUCAAUAAGCGGAGGA
rnacentral:misc_RNA from 1 species